rnacentral:rRNA from 1 species
UACAGAGGGUGCGAGCGUUAAUCGGAAUUACUGGGCGUAAAGCGUGCGCAGGCGGUUUUGUAAGUCAGAUGUGAAAGCCCCGGGCUUAACCUGGGAAUGGCAUUUGGGACUGCAAGGCUGGAGUGUGGCAGAGGAGACUGGAAUUCCUGGUGUAGCAGUGAAAUGCGUAGAUAUCAGGAGGAACACCGAUGGCGAAGGCAGGUCUCUGGGCUGACACUGACGCUCAUGCACGAAAGCGUGGGGAGCAAACAGG